UCCCUGGUGGUUCAAGGGUUAGGACUCAGUGCUUUCACUGCCAAGGUCCCUGGUUCAAUCCCUGGUCAGGGAA
rnacentral:tRNA from 1 species